GUGGGGAAUUUUGGACAAUGGGCGAAAGCCUGAUCCAGCCAUGCCGCGUGUGUGAAGAAGGUCUUCGGAUUGUAAAGCACUUUAAGUUGGGAGGAAGGGCAGUAAGUUAAUACCUUGCUGUUUUGACGUUACCGACAGAAUAAGCACCGGCUCACUUCGUGCCAGCAGCCGCGGUAAUACGAAGGGUGCAAGCGUUAAUCGGAAUUACUGGGCGUAAAGCGCGCGUAGGUGGUUUUGUAAGUUGGAGGUGAAAUCCCCGGGCUCAACCUGGGAACUGCCUCCAAAACUGCAUGACUAGAGUACGGUAGAGGGUAGUGGAAUUUCCUGUGUAGCGGUGAAAUGCGUAGAUAUAGGAAGGAACACCAGUGGCGAAGGCGACUACCUGGACUGAUACUGACACUGAGGUGCGAAAGCGUGGGGAGCAAACAGGAUUAGAUACCCCAGUAGUCC
rnacentral:rRNA from 1 species